GGCCUGGGAGAACACCUGGAGCUCCCCAGCCCUGGCACUCUGGGCAGCAGCCUGACCCUGGGCAGCAGCCUGAGCCUCACGUCCCAGCCCGAGGAAGAGUCGUCGGCGGAGGGCAGGAAGCCCGCCUGUCCUGAGGUAGGAGGGCCCCCUGCCUGCCUGCCCUGGCCUCCCCUCCUUCCCUCUGCUGCCGCCUGCCAACUGCCCCAGCAUUGACCUGGGCCCUCCCCCUCCCCUCGUCAGAAGCCGUCGCUGCUGACCAGUCUCCGAGAGUCGGCCUGCCUGCUGGGCCAGGCCCAGGGCUCCCUGGAAAGGCUGGAGAGAAGGUUCUCGGCCAGGAUUCGGACCCUGCAGGAGCUGCUGGGAGACAACCCCGAGGCCCCAGCCUCCCAGUCCGCCGGCCCCCAGAGUGGCCCCAGUCUUCAGGAGUGCAUAGACCUUGCCGCCCGGGCCCGAAGCCUGGACAGACAGGAGGGUCAGACCCAGGUAGGGAUCUGGGGGCCAGGUGCAAGGAGGCUGGGAUCAGAAUGGGUCCGUGUCCUCCGUGCUCCUUUCCUCCUGGGGCUCGUGGGCCUCGAAUGGCCUUAGAAAGAGCUGGCGCUUGUCUGGAGGCUCCCUCGGACAAAGGAAUGAAGAGGCCGCCCUCCCCCUUCCCCUCCUGUGCUCAGUGCCCCAAGAUAGGACUACCAGGUGUUUGGGGAUUAGGAACAAUGACUGCCUCGGUGGGGCUUAAAGGUGAGCAGCGCACAGAUCCAGCCUGGGGUCCACAUGGGAUGGCAUCGGGGCCCUCCCUACGCUCUCUCGUGGGAUCUCGGGAUGCAGAGAUAGAAGGGGCAGCGGGAGGCCCCACAGCCUGAGGGGGCUGCCUUGCCAGAGUUCUCUCUGUAGCGCAGGGCGUAUGGGACUUGAGGCGCAGCCUUUGUCUCUCUCUUCCUUUGCCAGGUGCAGGUCUCUGAGCUAGCCAAGGGAGGCCUCUUUCACCAGGCCUGCAGAAGUAAGUAGUGGCAGUCUCUUUCUCCAGCUCCUAAGCAUUUGAGGGGUC
rnacentral:lncRNA from 1 species